CACACACACACACACACACAAUUCUCAGACAAAAUGCUGGAGUUUCCUGCAUAGCAUUUGCAGACUCACCACUGGGCUGCCCAGGUUGGUGCAGAUGUUGGUGUUUUUAACUGUACAGUGCUACUGGAACUGCACAGGCCUGGAAGUCUAUGUAGACCAUGUUAGUCCCAAAUUCAUAAGGGAUCUUUUUACUUCUGCCUUCUGAGUGCUGGGCUUAAAGGCACAAUCUGCCACAUAUGGCUUAUUUUUGGAUUAAAAUGAAAGAUUCAUUUUAUUUCCAUGUCUCUUUGCACAUGUGUGCAGGUGCCUGUAGAGAAGGCACCAGAUCCCCUGGAGGGAUCCUAACAGGCAGGUAGGUGCUGGGAUCCAAACUCAGGGCCACUGGAAGAUCAGUGCAGGCUUUUAACCAGCCAUACCUCCAGCCCUACUUUGGAAUUUUGAGACAGGGUCUUGCUAUGUAGCUCAGACUGGCCUUGAAUUUUUGAUCCUUCUGCCUCAGAUUCCUGUGUUGGGGGAACCACAGGUAUGUGCCCCAACUCCUGUCUCCAAUGGCUUCUUCUGCCUAUCUUUUUGUAGUCUUAGCUGCAGGGGAGCUGAAACAAGCCCAGUUUAAGAUUUCAAUCACACUCCGCUCUACUCUCUCACAAGCCUGAAAUAAACUUUUCUAACACCUUUUGUGAUUGGAUACACUGAAUUUAAAUAGGGCUGCAGCUAUAAACAAAAAGAGCAAGCUGUGGAUUGAUGUGUCUAUUUCAGUGAGCCGCAGCCAUGUUAUUUCUGAACAUGGAGACUAAAAUUAAUAAAAUGACAAGUAGAAAAAGCCCAAAAUUUGGAGAUGUGUCCUGUAGUGAUAUCUUUAAAUAACACUAGCAGGUGUUUAUAAAAGACCUGAAAAAAUGAGUAACAUGCUUUUUUAUUUGUAUUUAUUUAGAGACAAGUUUGCAUUGUAGCCUGGGUUAUUCCCUGCUCAUAAUGUCAUGGAGGCUGGGACUGAACUCCUGAUCCUCUUGUCUUCACCUCCUAAGUAAUAGGGUAGUAGCUGUGCACCACCAUGCCCAGUGUUUAUUUAUUUUGGCAAGGACUUUUCCAGGUCACUGUGUACACGCUUAAUUGGUAAGAAUUUUAUUUAGAUUUUUGUGACUUGGGCUUUGAAUCUGGGUUUUCCAUAUACUAGACAGGAGCUCUGCCAUCUCAACAGCCCUACGAUAAUACUUUUAUUAUUAGUUUUCCUUAUUUAUUUUUAUUCUGAGGCUGGAACCUGGGGCCUUAUGCAUGCCACACACAUUGUCUACCGCCGAGCUACACCCCAUCUGUAGUACUAAUUUAAAACUGUUACUCAUGUCAAUGGCAAUGAUAUGGAUAUUUAUAAGUACUUCAUUUUCAUGAAGGACGGAGCUGAGGAAUAAUGCUUGUAUUGAAAUGAAGAUGUUUAGUUCUGCUCUGUGUCAGUGGUCUGUCAGCUCAGAUUCCCUGGUUUUCUCUGAAAUGGUUGGGGCUGAGCUCACAAGGAUUCCUCACUUUCUGAUCUGUGUAAAUGAGACUAUGUAAUCUGCGUAAGAGUCCAUGUCCCUGAAUGUUACCAUAAAGGUUCCUGUCGUAUACUCAAUUUUGCAAGCUAUUAUAGAAUGGUACCUUUAUUGUAUGUAUUCAGCAACCCAACUGGUAUAUCUGGUUAAUGGUGCACAAAAGAUCACAUCUGACAACCUCAUUAGAUAGCAUGGCAUUUCAUUAUUUUAUAAUAGAUGUCAAAAGUCAUACAUUUUAAUUUGAAGAUCUAUUGAAAUCUUUAGUAAGGUAAAUAGUUCAAAGUGAUUACCUGAUAUUGAAAAACACUCAUUAAGCUGCUAUAAUUUUACCUAUAAUGUAUGGAUCAAGAGAUAAACCUAGAUAAUCAAUGUAUUAAGUAUUAAGGUACUGCCAGGAAAAUGGGCCUAUAGCCUUUUAACACAGCACACAAACUGGAAUCUGUGGCUCAUGCUGGAGCCUGAGAGUCACACCCCUUUUACUUAAACUUUUGCUUAGUGAUGACUAUAAACACACUGGUCGGGGCUGGAGAGCUGGCUCAGAGGUUAAGGAUGUCCCCUGCUCUUCCAGGGUGUCCUGUGCUGCUCACAACUGCCUGCACCUCCAGCUCUAGGAAACCUAACGCCCUCUUCUGGCCUCUGUGGGCACUGCAUCCACGUGAGAGACACACUCUUAAAAAUAAAUCCUUAACAACAAACCUUCCAACACCAGACUUGUCUGACGAAUCUGUUGAGUAGGAAAUUUCCUCAUUUGACAUUCAGGCUGGCUGACUAGAAAGAAACCUGACUUUUCCUUAGCCCUUUCACGGCAGCAUCAAGGCCCUCAGCACUGCUGGAUCUGGCUGGAGGUGGUAAUGCUUUGCUGCAGUGUAGCUCAGACUCCAGCCAGGGGUUAGCCUGCCCCAGUGACUUCACCGAGCUCACUUUGCACCACCAUGACAAAGGGAGGCUCUGUGAUCACGUCACUACUGGAGAACCCACAGUACUGGGGGUGAAGUCUUAGGGCGACACAGACACGGCAAGGCUGACAGGAGGAACCCCAGAGCAGCGUAUCUGAUAAAGUUAUUCAGCUAUUUAAACAAAUGGUUUGGCUUUACAUAGCUAUCACCUGAAGGUGAUUAUAGAGUUUUGGAAAAGGUAGAUAAUGAUGAUGACAGAUAGUUUAGUGGGCGAAGGCAUGUGCUGUGGUGGCCUGGUGACCUGAGUCUGAGCCCAGGAAACCAUGUAAAGGUGGAAGGACAGAACCCACUCCAAUGAUCUCUUCUGACCUGCACGGAGAUGCUGUGGCACACACAGGCCCCACUCACAGGGCAGCUGCAAACUGGCUCUGAACACUGUGAAACAGCUCUUUAUUACUGUAGAGCCCAGAUUUCAACACUGUUUCAGUCUAGAGCUCAGUAGCUUUAUCACUAAAUAUGUGAGUCACACAAUCUACCACCUAAACACAGUAACACUAGCAGUUAAUAAAAAUGUUCAAAACAGAGAAAGGAUGAUGUGGCUGAGAUUCAAAACUGUGAAAGCAAGUGGCAAGCUGGAUUUGAAAUGGAGGCCAGUUUGCCAGCCUCUCAUCUAUACCAGCACUAGCCAAGGGAAACAAUGCAAAUCAUGUAUGUAUUUUAGAAAUCUCCAUAGCCACAUUAACAUGUGGUUUGGAUCUAAGUGGCCGCAGAGGUGCAUGUGUUUGUUAGGUUUUGGCUUUUGGGAAUUGAUUCUAUCAUUAGGGCUCCAACCAACUUGGCCAUGCAUUCACCGCUGGAUGCUACUGUGAGUUGAGGGCUGCCUGGAGGAGGCAGCUUCUGGCUGUGCCCUGGGAAGUCUAUGUUGCCUUCUUGUCUCUCCCCUCUGCUUCCUGGCAAUCGAGAGCUGUGCAGUCUGCUUCACAGGUUCCCACCAUGGUAUCUGCCUCACUGCAGUUACAGCAAGAGACAGACGACCUCAGAGAGCAGCCUCUGAACCCCUGGGUCAAGGUACCCCAUGGAGUAAAGGACCAUACCCUACACUGAGUCUUUGAUAAAUUCUUACCAACAAGGGAAAUGAUUUAUGAAGCUCAUUCCACAGCCUGCUGCCUACUGGAGACAGUGGAGACCACCCUUUCCCUACCAGAGUUCCGGCCACUGUAGAGCUGGCCAGUGAGGCUCUGCAAGGCCUUUUCAACUCAUCUGCUUGCAGAUUCUGAACUAUGGAGGCUCUCCUUGCUCGUCGACUCGAAGCCACAGAUGCAACAGCAGAAAAGCAGCACGCAGUACUCAGUGCCUGGUGUAGUCAGGCUGCAGCUCCUUCCUGAGAUGUCAGAGCUACUGCCUGUGGGGCUCAGUUUCUGAAGCUCGCUGGCAUCUAUGACUUCGCUGGGCAGCUGGGAAGUCAGCUCUGAGGAUGAUACCAAGUCUUCUGGACUGCCUGUGGUAGGGUCAGCUCUCUCUCCACUGCUGGGUUUCCCAGGGGAUUUCCUCAGAACUCUUAUAAAAACAGAACACAGCAAACUUUCAGUGGGAUGUGCUAUAGGCUAGGAGAUGGAUCCCUAGCCUUACUUUGUGGCUAGCAAUCAAGUGAGGGAUGGGAUGGUGUACCUGCUGCUUUGUGAGAUCGCAUCAUUGAUGGCCUUGUUAACUUGCUCGUAGUUGUAGUUCUGGUCACUUGCGUGCUUCCACAUGUGUGACUUCAAAGAAGGGGGGUGGCUGCACACGUACCCACACAAGGAGCACCUGGAAGACAAGGGGCCAGAGAAAUCACAACCAUCUCACAGCACUAUUGAAAAUUCAUAAUGGUUUUAUGUGGGAGCUACCUUUCCUGGAUAAAUUAUGUCUCUUCACAGCAAAUGGGGAUCACGGUAGAAAACCACAACUGAACACAUUUAUAUCACAGUUUCUGCAUCUAUGGCUUAGGGGACAUCCCCAAAGAGAGGGAGAAAAGAUUGUUAAGAGCCAGAAUACCAGGAAGUCUGCCGUGAAACAGUCUCUCCUAGAAAUAACUGCAUAAAUAAGACUGGAACAAAGGCAAUUAUCAAUGGUCUUGUUAAUGUUGAAGGGGACUACUCGACAGGACCCCACGCCUAGACAAAGGACUACAGGCAACUAAAGACUGCUGAGAGGCUCCCAGGGAUGAGCCUACUUAAACUGGUUGUCCAAUGCAGGGUGGUCAGGCCUAAGCAUAUAUACACAAACAACAAAACAGGUGCAGUAAGUUGUAUUUAUAUAUAUUUGUGAAUUACAUACAUGUGACAAUGAUUAUCAAAGAGAAAGGGCUAUCAACUUGAAUGACGGAGGACACAAGAGAGGUGUGAGGGAGGAUAGCUAGGACGGACUGAAGGGAAGAAAGAGAUGAGGGAAAGUGAUAUACCAUUUAAAUAAAAAGCAUAAAUAAAAAAUGUCUUUAAAAACUCACAAUCGUUCUAACUGUAAGCCCCUAAGUGUUCUCAGCUGAGCUACCACUCACAGAAUUUAAGUUUUCCCUGGUUUUAAGGCACACAUGGACUUUACAGGGGUACUAAAAAGGAGUGUAAACAAUAAGAAAAAAAAAAUCAAGGGAACUGAACUCAGGUUGCCAGGCUUGGCUGCAAGUGCCUUUACCACUGAGCCGUCUCCCCGGUCCUGAGCUCUACUCUUAACUACCAAUCCUCCCAUAAAAUGUUUAAUUUUCAUAUUCAGUUGAAGAAAUGUUUUAUCUGGAAACUCAUCAUGGGAAAGUGGUAUGAAUGUAAUUCACAAAAUGAUAAACAUGGCACAUAACCGCUGUUGAAGAAGAGUAACAUCCUACCUGGAGGGAGCAGUGUCUCCCAGACGUCAAGCCUGUCCUCCCCCAGAGGAGACAUCAAUUUUCUGAUGUUUUCAUCGUGUCACUCGCUUUAUUCCUUGUGUGACAUCCAUGCACUCCUUCAUCCUACCUUCUGCACCACCGUGCUAUCUGAGAUUCAUCCAUAAGACUGUGGAGCUUAUUUAGUUUACAGGGUGCCUGCUUCUACUCUGAUUUUCUGUGGUUCUUAAUUUUUUUGGGAGAAACUGCAGAUAUAAAACUUCUAAGGUAGAUGUUAACCUGUACCCAGAGCUACAAUCAGCCGUUCUAAGUAUUUUCUGACUAAAAUUAUGUAUUUCAAUGGGGUGUAACAUUUUACCCCAGGGAAAUUAUUCUACCAACACUGUAGAGCUGCUUUUGUUGUUAUAUGGCAUGCCAUAACAGACACCUAAGUAAUACAUUAAUAAAAAUCAAACAAGCAAUCACCUACCAUUCUUUUUUUAAAAAAAAAAAUUUAUUUAU